rnacentral:rRNA from 1 species
CAGUCGCCACGGUAAUACGAAGGGUGCAAGCGUUAAUCGGAAUUACUGGGCGUAAAACGUGCGUAGGCGGUUUGUUAAGUCUGCUGUGAAAUCCCCGGGCUCAACCUGGGAAUGGCAGUGGAUACUGGCAAGCUAGAGUGUGUCAGAGGAUGGUGGAAUUCCCGGUGUAGCGGUGAAAUGCGUAGAGAUCGGGAGGAACAUCAGUGGCGAAGGCGGCCAUCUGGGACAACACUGACGCUGAGGCACGAAAGCGUGGGGGGCAAACAGGAUUAGAUACCCCAGUAGUCCCUGUCUCUUAACA